UGGCAGAUGAGGGCUUCCCAUGCUGCCUGGCAAUCAGCAUUGCCUUGCAGGGCAGUAACCAGAGAGGUCAGGCUCUAGGAUCCCUUUGAAUAUUGAUUUUUGGGUUGAAAAGGCUCAAGUCAGACCACAACAGGUGCCUGCAAGUGGUUGUGGGUCUGCAGAGCCCUGGGCAGUAGCACACAGGUGAUGUGUGGCCCCCCGUGGUGCUUGUGAGUGGCAGUGAUGAGUUCACCAGGCUCAGCUGGCUGGGUGUCACAUGGCUGCCUGAUGCAGGUGCAGCAAAGCAGGGUCCUGGCUGAGGCUGGGAGAGAUGAGGACUGAGAAAGGGUUUUUGGGGUGGUGUGUCCUUGUGUUCGAGCCAGGAAGAGGAAGUUGGAGAAGAGGAUGUGUGCCCUUGCAGCCUGGUAAAGUGGGGUCAAAGAGUGGAGGUGAGGCAAUGCUUGGUGUCUGGGUGAGGAGGAAGAAGAGGAUGCUUUGCUUGGUUUCUGCCUCAGGCCCUUCAUUUUCCCCCCAGCUCGAGGAUGCUGAAUAACGACAAGAAGCUGCUGUGACAUCUGGAGACUUGCACGCUCGUUCAAACUGCUCCGAGAAGUGCUUGAUGGUGUUUGAAGUACCGGUGUCCACUUGGCCUUCCUGUCCCGCUCUCAAGCCUGUUGUUGGAGAUUGUGACAAAUCAAGGACGGAGGAAAAUGUUGUGCUUUAAUCGAAAACACUACUUUUUGCUACACACGAGGGAUGACAAUCCUGCAGUGACAGUGCUGGAACAGGACGCUGAGAUGCAAGCCCCAUUCACAGGUGUGCCAUGGUUUUGCUUCUGGGACUUUAGCUUAUCCAAAUAAAGAGAGAAGAGCUGGAAGUGGGCCUUGGCAGAGCCGGAGAUGGAUUUCAGUUGGGAACAAUAAUCCGCUGCGUCUAAUUUUGAUCGAGUCCGUUUGCUUCCCUUUGAAAUAGGUGUCUGGUCUACUUGUGCGUACAACCAGCAGGCCAUACAGCUUGCCCACCACAUGGGGCUGUUUACAACGUCAAUCACAGCGUUCGGCUCUUCGUUGGCUGUUUGCCUUAAUUUGUUUCUUUGGCUGGCGUGCUGUUCAAAGAUUGAUUGAUUGAAUUACUUAUUUUUCCAUUCCUUAUGAGUCUAGGGCCGCCCCUUGUCAUGCAAGGCAAUUGGGAGAAGUUGCAUCCAGGCCAUGAGCUGACACCCUUGGUAGACUCAAGGACUGGAGCAUGACGACUUGAUGGCUUAGGAACAUGUUAAUGAGAUGCCGCGUGCAUGGGGGAGGUUAUGGGGGCAAAUCCUCAGUUGGUGUACAUAAUUUCAACCAAGCUAUAGCAAUGUAUACAAGCCGAGGAGCCGGCCCUUCCAGUUGGAGUCCAUCCCAACUCGGUGCUGGUGGAAAGUUGUUUCCAUUGCUAAUGAAUAGGAAUCUAAUGUUAAGAAAGAACAAUAAAGCCCACCCCACAGCACACUACCGCGAUGAUCCCUUGGCCAGCAGUCUCAGUUGAGCCUAGGGGCUGAAUGAGCCUUCAAGAACCUCCUCAGGGCCUCCUCUUCAGCAAACCUGGGGUAAGCUCCUACCAGGGCUGUGCUGUGUCAUAGUUCAGAGGAGUUUCUCCCAAGUUCAUAUAGAGAUGCAUUGGCCGCUCUGUGCAGAAGACCAGUCCAAGGCCAAGUACCACUGAGUGUUGUCAGGCGUCGACAGGGGACUGAGUGGUGUGCAGCCGUUCUCCUCUGCAAGCCACCCACCCACCCAGCACUGUAUUAAGUCCUAUUUUGGCAUCAUAGCGUGAUCCAUUAAUGAUCUGCUUGGUGAACUUGAUCUCCAGCACGAGCUGGAAAGGCUCUGAUGUCAUCCACUGAAGGGUUCGACCCUACACGCUUCAAGGACCUGAUCCCGAGUCCUUUGAAGGGUUGAGGUUGGAGUCUAUGGAGUCGCCAAGACUGACCUCCUUUUCAUUAAGGGGAUGCAGAUUUGGGAGGGGGGGGGCAUUGAUCCUGCCCUCCCAACCCCCCCCCCAAUAAAAUUCACUUUAUAAGUGCUUUCUCAGUUUCAGUAUAUUAUUCUUGAUCAUUUGUAAGGGGGAAGAGUGGUGAGCAAGCUGCAUGGACAGAGCUACAAAGGGAUGAUUUUUCACUGCCUUGCUACUGCUUUAAUCUCCAGGCUGUUCAGAAAGGGAAUGUUUAAUUGGUGCCCUGGUGAAA